GAGUGGCGAACGGGUGAGUAACACGUGGGUCCCCUACCUCUUAGCAGGGGAUAACAUUUGGAAACAAGUGCUAAUACCGUAUAACACUAACAACCGCAUGGUUGUUAGUUGAAAGAUGGUUCUGCUAUCACUAAGAGAUGGACCCGCGGUGCAUUAGCUAGUUGGUAAGGUAAUGGCUUACCAAGGCGAUGAUGCGUAGCCGAGUUGAGAGACUGAUCGGCCACAAUGGGACUGAGACACGGCCCAUACUCCUACGGGAGGCAGCAGUAGGGAAUCUUCCACAAUGGGCGCAAGCCUGAUGGAGCAACGCCGCGUGUGUGAUGAAGGGUUUCGGCUCGUAAAACACUGUUAUAAGAGAAGAACGACAUUGAGAGUAACUGUUCAGUGUGUGACGGUAUCUUAUCAGAAAGGAACGGCUAAAUACGUGCCAGCAGCCGCGGUAAUACGUAUGUUCCAAGCGUUAUCCGGAUUUAUUGGGCGUAAAGCGAGCGCAGACGGUUAUUUAAGUCUGAAGUGAAAGCCCUCAGCUCAACUGAGGAAGGGCUUUGGAAACUGGAUAACUUGAGUGCAGUAGAGGAAAGUGGAACUCC
rnacentral:rRNA from 1 species